AGACAUAGGGGGCUAGCGUUGUCCGGAAUUACUGGGCGUAAAGAGCACGUAGGCGGGGAUUUAAGUCAGGUGUGAAAGACCGCAGCUUAACUGCGGGGUUGCACUUGAAACUGAAUUUCUUGAGGGCAGGAGAGGAAAGCAGAAUUCCUGGUGUAGCGGUGAAAUGCGUAGAAAUCAGGAGGAAUACCGGUGGCGAAGGCGGCUUUCUGGACUGACCCUGACGCUGAGGUGCGAAAGCGUGGGUAGCAAACAGGAUUAGAUACCCUGGUAGUCCACGCCGUAAACUAUGGAUACUAGGUGUAGGAGGUAUCGACCCCUUCUGUGCCGCAGCUAACGCAAUAAGUAUCCCGCCUGGGGAGUACGGUCGCAAGGCUGAA
rnacentral:rRNA from 1 species